CCCCAUACUCCUUCUCAUCAUAAGAUGAGUCGGGAAAGUUUUUUCGCUAAAGGAUUGGGCUAUAUGGUAUCAGCUUGUUAGUGAGGUAACGGCUCACCAAGGCUAUGACGCCUAACUGGUCUGAGAGGAUGAUCAGUCACACUGGAACUGAGACACGGUCCAGACCCCUACGGGAGGCAGCAGUGGGGAAUAUUACACAAUGGAGGAAACUCUGAUGUAGCAACGCCGCGUGGAGGAUGACACAUUUCGGUGCGUAAACUCCUUUUAUAUGGGAAGAUAAUGACGGUACCAUAUGAAUAAGCACCGGCUAACUCCGUGCCAGCAGCCGCGGUAAUACGGAGGGUGCAAGCGUUACUCGGAAUCACUGGGCGUAAAGCGCAUGUAGGCGGUCCUGUAAGUUGGGUGUGAAAGCCUAUGGCUCAACCAUAGAACUGCACCCAAAACUACUAGACUAGAGUCUGGGAGAGGAAAAUGGAAUUAGUUGUGUAGGGGUAAAAUCCGUAGAGAUAACUAGGAAUACCAAAAGCGAAGGCAAUUUUCUGGAACAGUACUGACGCUCAGAUGCGAAAGCGUGGGUAGCAAACAGGAUUAGAUACCCUGGUAGUCCACGCCCUAAACGAUGAAUGUUAGUCGUCGGGAGGCUCGUCCUUUCGGUGAUGCAGCUAACGCAUUAAACAUUCCGCCUGGGGAGUACGGUCGCAAGAUUAAAACUCAAAGGAAUAGACGGGGACCCGCACAAGUGGUGGAGCAUGUGGUUUAAUUCGAAGAUACGCGAAGAACCUUACCUAGCCUUGACAUUGAUAGAAUCCGAUGGAAACAUUGGAGUGCCAGUUUACUGGAGCUUGAAAACAGGUGCUGCACGGCUGUCGUCAGCUCGUGUCGUGAGAUGUUGGGUUAAGUCCCGCAACGAGCGCAACCCUCGUCCUUAGUUACUAACGGUUCGGCCGAGGACUCUAAGGAGACUGCCUUCGUAAGGAGGAGGAAGGUGAGGACGACGUCAAGUCAUCAUGGCCCUUACGGCUAGGGCGACACACGUGCUACAAUGGAUAGGACAAUGAGACGCAAUACCGCGAGGUGGAGCAAAUCUAUAAACCUAUUCUCAGUUCGGAUUGUAGUCUGCAACUCGACUACAUGAAGCUGGAAUCACUAGUAAUCGUAGAUCAGCCAUGCUACGGUGAAUACGUUCCCGGGACUUGUACUCACCGCCCGUCACACCAUGGGAGUU
rnacentral:rRNA from 1 species